CUCAGGUGUUGGAAGGAGAGGCACCACAAUAGGAAUACAAAUAAAUCAAGAAGAGGAACUGCCCCUUGCUGCAUCCAGCCCCUGCCCCCCACUGCUCUCCAUCACUGCUGGUGUCAAGCAGUUAAUUUACAAGCCCAGCACUUUACAAAGCCCCUGGAGCACAAACUGUCCCUUUCUCACGCAACAUCAGCUCCCCAGAAGAGCCAGCUGAGUCUCUGGGUCACCCUUCUCCUGCCUUUCCCAAGGCAACUUCAGCCCUACUCCAAAACUACCCGAGUAUUUAUCUGGGGACAAGUCAGAUCCCUUGCAGCAGAAUGCCAAAGGCUUUGGAAUAAGCCCAGGGUGCAAAGCACCUCUGCUCUAUGCCCUGUGCCUGCUUGGGGAUGCAACAUUCAAUAGGCAAAAAAUGAUGAAAACCCCACAAGUGGCUGCAGCAAGGCCAGCAGCAUCCAAAGUACCGUGCCAGAGCUGGGCAGCGAUAGGGCAGCGCAGGACAAACCAAACAGCACUGGGGAAAGAAACCAGCUUGUGGAUCAGAAAGCUAAAGGCGGUGUAACUCUCACAUGGCUUUUUUUAUUUCCUCCCUCCCACCACCUCCCUCCCCUCCUCCAGUCUGUUGCACCGGAGCUGUCGGCCAUGCUGUUCCAGUUCAGGGGCUCCUGCAACAGAAAAGAUCAGCUGUUGGAGAACCCAUGGAAAGCCCUGGGGGAGAGCCAUGGCCGCAAGAAAUUGCUCUAAAUGGAGAGGAUUUUAUACUGCAGCACCUAAUUAUAAGCAGUGAUUUAAUUUCUGAGCUCCCUGUGGCAGGGCACACUGCAGUAACACCGGGCUCCCACCGCUUGGGACUCCUAAUCAGGCACAUACGAACACCUUGUGAUGCAUAUACAAAUGUAUACAUCACAGACACCUGCCUUCUCCUCUCUCCCCGUGGUGAACAGCAUGACAGGAGGCUCUGCCUGGCCCCCAGCUGCUGCCUUUAA
rnacentral:lncRNA from 1 species